AAUUUCUUUUUAUUCAGUAUUUUCAAUUUUAUAUGAAACCGUCGGUGUAGACACGCAGGUCCAGCAUUGGUACAUUUCAAUGAAUACUUUGAAAUGUAGUGGGCUCAAAGAGCAACAGUGGUGGCGUGCAAGUCACCAAGUAACAAUAAAUAACAUUUCCCGGUUGGACUCGCAGGUCCUAUAGCGUGUAAGUUUGAAUAGGCCAUUCCCCUUAGUUUUUAGUUGCUAUAGCCUUUCUGGGUCUCCAAUUGUGGCAGGGGUGGUUCGUAUCCUGCUUUAUUACUAUUAGC